rnacentral:rRNA from 1 species
CAUGCAAGUCGAACGGAAAGGCCCUUCGGGGUACUCGAGUGGCGAACGGGUGAGUAACACGUGGGUGAUCUGCCCUGCACUUUGGGAUAAGCCUGGGAAACUGGGUCUAAUACCGAAUAGGACCACGGUCUGCAUGGAUUGUGGUGGAAAGCUUUUGCGGUGUGGGAUGGGCCCGCGGCCUAUCAGCUUGUUGGUGAGGUUACGGCUCACCAAGGCGACGACGGGUAGCCGGCCUGAGAGGGUGUCCGGCCACACUGGGACUGAGAUACGGCCCAGACUCCUACGGGAGGCAGCAGUGGGGAAUAUUGCACAAUGGGCGCAAGCCUGAUGCAGCGACGCCGCGUGAGGGAUGACGGCCUUCGGGUUGUAAACCUCUUUCGCCAGGGACGAAGCGCAAGUGACGGUACCUGGAGAAGAAGCACCGGCCAACUACGUGCCAGCAGCCGCGGUAAUACGUAGGGUGCGAGCGUUGUCCGGAAUUACUGGGCGUAAAGAGCUCGUAGGUGGUUUGUCGCGUUGUGGGUGAAAACUCACA